GUUAUGGCUUUAAUUUGGGGAUUUAAUUUAACAACUGUGGAGACCCACCUUCAGUCCACUUAAUGCUUUUAUUCUGAAGUUAAAGAAGUUUCACACAACUCUGUUAAGGAGAACUUUUGUUGUCUUGAGUCGACUGCAGAUAAACUUUGUUAAUUACUAUAAAACAUCAGCUAAAGGAAAUAGUUCAUGUUUUGAAAUCUCCUUCUCCUUUUGUGACCAUCUCUGUGGAAACUGUUUAUAACCUCCUGACUAGAGAUGCACCGAUCACUAGAGAUACACCGAUACGUGGGCUGAGCGUAUCGGCUGAUAUCCGAUACCGAUCCAAUACUACUGUUGAAUGAAUGAACUGUAUACCUCGCCCUGUGAGUGAAGGGAUCAGGCUUGACAUUAGCCUUGUUAAAAAAGAAAGGUAACAAAUUAACACGGAUAUAAACUUACUUAAUAUUAUUUAUUGACAAAAAACAAGUUGAACAUUAGCACACAGCAAAAAGAAGUAAGACUUAUGGUGCGUUCAGACCAGCCGCGACCUGAUGCGACUUGGCGACGGCUCCCAAUGCAAAGUCUAUGGCCAGCCGCGACCUGACGCGACUUGGCGACCGCCGGCUGCCUGCGACGCGACCUGACGCGACCUAGCGACCGGUCGCCAAGGCGCGUCCCCGAGGUCGCGUCCCCGAGGUCGCGUCGCCGAGGUCGCGUCGCCGAGGUCGCAGGACGCCAAGUCGCGUCGCUCCCAAAGUUCAAAUAUUUGAACUUUGGGAGCGACUUCGUGCCGCGACAGCCAAUCAGGGCUCUGCUGACGUCAACAAACCGGCGAAACAAGGAAGAGGAGAAGAAGAAUCACAAUGGAGGAACAGUUAAUCACAUCCGUUAGCUACCACCCGGUGCUAUACGACGUGGGUUGCAGGCUGUACCGGGACCGCAACGCCAAAGAAGAAGCAUGGGGGAAGGUGGCCCGUGAUGUCGGGCUUUCUGGCAAGCUUGUUUGUUUAUUUAUUUCAGUGAGCGGACUGUUUUAUGAAAACAUAGCUAACUGCCCCUGCUUGCUAGGCUACAUGUUUCAACGUAUGUGUGUGUGUCUUUGCAGUGGAUGUGUGCCGCAAGCGGUGGAAGGGGCUUAGAGACGUUUAUAUGAGGGACAGACAGAUAGACAGGCGCUCCGAAGCUGAGAUGGAGCGCCUGUAUUUCGUGUCCAGGCGGGAGAUGCUGCUUCCCACCUGGGCGAGGAGGUCCUCGAACUGCGCCGUCGACACACGGAAAUACCGCUGGAAGCGGCCGUCGUCCAGGCGGGGUUCCUGGAGCAAGCGGUGAAAUUCACCCAGCUCCGUCCUCCUCCGGAUGGUUUCAUGCACCCAUAAACGCCGGCGGCGUCUACUGCGGAUGUACAGAUAUGCAGCAGCACUGAUGAACUGAAAACUGAGCUAGUGACAUGGAUGACGUCACCGGCGACCAGCCGCGACCUGCAACUGCAACUUUGGACCCGGUGUGAACACACCAGAGCACCACGCGACGCGACCUGAGCGACCUGAGCGACCAACGCGACGCGACCUGGUCGCGUUUGGUCUGAACGCGGCUUUAGAAGUAAGAGCGAACAGUCGCUGCGUUUGAUAUUAAUUAAAAGAAAAAUAAAUUUAAAUUAAGUUAAUUCGUCAAUAUUGGAGCCUAUAUCCAAUCCAAAUACCAGAUUGGUGCGUCCCUACUCCUAACAUAGACCUAAUAUACGUAGUCGCCUCAAUACACGCUGAAGCGUAAUUCAACAUCGCCGCCAUAUUGCAUGGGUCUCUUGAGUCGAGGCUAGCACUAGAAUGAAACGGAGUCAACGGAGAACAAGCAACUAUGCCUGUAUUUUACUUUCACGGGUAAAAUUGAAAAACAUUUUUGGUUGUUUUUAAUGUGUGACAGCAACCUGAAUUAUGGCUACAUCUCUGCCGUUUGUAACAAACCGAACUGUGUGAAAAUCGGGUAAAAAUUCAGGGAGUUAUGAUUGAUUUAGUUGGGCGCUCACCAUUGGGGGCUCACGGUGGACCUAUCCAAGAUGGCGGCCGCACUGAUACAUGAACUCCAAUAGGUAGCGUCAGUCUAUGAGACAUCUACAUAAAUUAUGUUUAUGACCUCCUGAUAGGUAUUUGACCUGAUGCAGAGAAAAUAAUUAUAAUUCAUAAAGGUUCAAAGAUGUAGAGAUCUAUAUCAGUGUGAUGUCUCCUCCUCCUCCUCUUCCUCAGUCAUCGUGGUUUAGGGUCAGAUCAGUAUAUUUGUUACCUAAAAAAGUGCGAUGGUCUGUUAAAAUUGAGCUAAAAUUGAGAUGAUUGCGUUCUGGACUGUUCUGGACCAAACCAGAGCUGCUAAAAGCUGCAGGUCCACCUCUUGGCCUCCUGCUGGGUCAAAUCAGGUUAAGCAUUUCCAACAUGGCAGCUGCUGCCAAUAGGCUUAAAAUCUCAAAUGGGCGACGUCACAGAGACUACGUCGAUGUUUUAGACCGUCUGUGGUGUGAAUGGAGCUUGUGUGACUGAAAUUUGGUGACGUCUUUUAAGUUUAAUCGUCUCAUGCUGUCUUUAACUACAUUUCAGAGAGGGUCAGGGGCAGAGUUUGAUGAUUUAUUUCCUGUUCUGUUGUAAAUAUGAUUGAAUGGCUCCGUGCAUUCAGAUUCAACAAGAGGGUGAUCUCGACAACUUAAUGAAAGAAAAUAGAUGAGAGGCUCAUCAGUUUUGGGUGUUAGAUCGCUGUUUACGCCUUGAGGACAUUUUUAUGCUGCAAUUCUUUACAGUUUAAGUCAUUAUUUUAGAAAUCUGGAAGAAAAUAGCUAAUACCCUGAACUUUUGAAUAAUGAAUAAUGUAGCACGGACAAGUAAAGAGCGGGUUUCUUUAUUCAUCACUGUUGCAAACUAUCUGGCCGGUUAGACUAAAAACAAAGCCUGAAAUGUUGGUCCUGUUUGGAAAGAACAACAUUUCUCAUGUGUAAUGCUGUGGGCUGAGGCUGCUAAAGUGAAGUAAAAGCUCUUUGUGGGCUUAAAAAUGAGCCAGUGUGAGAUUUUAAUAUGAUUCCAGCUUCAUUAAAUGAAGUGAGGGGACUCAGGGGGCUGAUUUACUCCCCAGAAAAGCACCGCAAAGUAAAACUUCUGAAGAAUUUUGGAAAGAGGUCAGUUUAUGAAUAACGGCGCCGAUGGAGUUAACAGCACUGAGGGUGUUACUGUGAGAUUAAUGAAGUAUAAAGUUAUAAUUAUCAUAUAGCUUCAAGCUUCAUUAUUAAACAUAAGAACCUUUAAGUUCUCAGAAACACCCACACACCUUCUCUUCCUGGCUUUCUUUCUAUUUCCUGCUCCUCUACCUGAGUCUCUCCUGCUGCUGCUGCUGCUGCUCUUUAUGUAACGGGCUUAGACAGGAUUGCAUCCCGAUCUUGGCAGUUUGGUGCUUGUAAAACAGGCGGUGAUUUUGGAGUCUGAAGAUUGAGAUAUCACACGUCUAGUUUGGUUUGAUUUUUCCAUGCAUUGCUUAUCUUCAGCUGUCGAGCUUUGAUAUGAUGCCGACUUUGAAGUGAGAUUCGCACCCAAAAAUGCAAAAGAGACGGAAAAAAUGACUUCUUUUUUCUUGGCGUCGCCUGCCUUGAUGGCACAUCCAAAAGGAGCUCCUUUCAGUGUUGAUAAUGUGUAUUAAAAGAUGGCAAAAGAAGCACUUAAAGUUUGACAUUUUUAGAAAGGAUGGAUGUAAACAGACGUGAGUUUCUGAUUAGUUCAAAGAAGAGGGUUAGAGGAGCCAGCUUUGACUAUUUUUGGCUAUUGAUGACUUUUUAUCUAUCUGUGAGUUAAACUUUUGAAAAAUUAUGCAAACCAACUUCAUUUAAAAUAAGAUUAGAAGUAAAAUACAGCUGUAAGUACCAGAUGAAGGCGUCACACUACGGUAAGUCCACUCAGACAAACUACAUUGCGCUCCAUUUGAUAGUCAAAUGCGCUCGGUUAAAAGCCCCUCACAGUUUUCUUUAUUUCCGUUUGUUCAUUCAAUCGACCUCAAAUUUUUCUCUCCAUAUGAUAAAGAGAAUUACAACUUACUGUUCUGUAAUUUUGAGAUGGCUUUAAUUGUAUAGGUUAACUUUUCAAAAGGAAAAAUAAAAAAAUAUAUACGCAGGAUCUCCGUUUAUCAAAAGAUAGUUUUGCUUUUAUUCCACAUUUCCUUCAGUGACCUAAAAGAGGCGAUUAGAUUGCUUCGUAAAUUUCGUCCAUGUUUUCUCCGAAGAACUACAAUCCCAUGAAACCUAAUCCAGUGAGAAUCACUUCCCUAAAGGUCCACAAUCACAAUCUUCUACGUCAUCCGAACCAACCCCAAGCCGAUCUGGCAGCCCAAACACAUCUAGUACCUACACCGUAUAUGGUCACAUACUAUCUAAAGGAUGGAUGUCGUCACAUGACGUCCCCGGCUAGUUUGGUACUGUCUCGGACCCGUCUGUAACGUUGAGCAUAAAUGAGCCUUGAGUUAGCUAAAGUAACACCCACCCCUACUUUUCACCUCCAAAUUAUUCAUAACUUUUUCUUUUAUUGGUUUAUUUGACAUCCACGAACGAAUGCAGAAUAUAUUUGACUUUAUGCCACGCCAAAUUUGAACCAUAGCGAAGUGUUAGAGCCACAUUUGGUAAGAAAAAAAAAUGGGAUCGAGAUGAAUAAAGUGGCAGACAACUCACAGAAUUUUAUUUCAGAGUUAAGAUAUUGUUUUAAUAUUGUCUGGAAAUAAUUUCCUUUUUAAAAAUUUUCACAGUAUGUGAGAAACAGUUUUUUGCCUUUUUGCCAGGAUUUUCACAAGAAGCUCCGUACCACUCUUGGGGUUCAUUCAUUAAUUAUGAAGCAAGGUCCAGGAGUUGAUUAGCCUAGCUUAGCAUUAAGAUUGGCAGCUGGGGUAAAUGCCUCCCUUGGCCCCCUUGAAAAGUUCAAAAUUACACCCACCAGCUCUCCUGAAGCGCUAAAUUUUUAAUCAAAUAACCAAGGACAUGCCAUGAACCGAAGAUCUGUGGUGUUCUGGGGGUCUGAGGCCUCGGGGUAGAAGCUGAUUCUACCUGCUGGGUAACCAGCCGUGUUUAUUCGGCAGUUUAAUCUGAAAUAAGAAUAAAGGAGUCGCUCCAUCAGGAAUUUUGUGUUUCUACUCUGGCAGGAAGUCCAUAAAUCAAAUUAAAGAGGAUCCCUUUUUUCUCCACUCAUCUUCUCUCUGCAGCGUCAUGUUGUAUGCCUGGAAACCGCAGCACCCCUUCGCUUCUCCUUCUUCCAGAAAUCACUGGGAAAUAAGAAAAUCUAGGUUGUCUUUCUUCAAAGACUUUGCAAACAUCCCACUUGAAGACACGCAGACAGAGACAGUGAAGCUCGGUGAAAGCAAAUGAGGUUAACAGCCACUCCCCACAUCAGCGGUGAGAGCUGAUUAGGCCGCGCAGCGUUCUGAUAACGAGUGUCAGAAACAACUCGACGCGCCUUUACCAGCGUGGUGUCACACCUGCGCCGUGAUGGAGCUGCAGCAGACAGUUACAGUUAGUUUUGCGGGGGUUGUGAACUCUCUAUUCCCUCCAAAACCUUGACUCCGAAUUGAUUUCUUUAAAAAGCCACGUCUAUCUCCAAAGCAUGUAAACACCAAUUGAAAUAUUCAUCGAUUUUCAUCAUACUGCGAGUCUUUUCAUCGAGUCAGCCGUGCCGUCAGUUCAAAGAGCUGCACAGAUAGAUCACACCGCCGGGUUUACAAAUGCAUGAAUGAAAAAGAUAAAGACAUAUGUCACAAAGACGGAGGCUGGAUUUCCCAGGAUGAGGUUAUUUCUAACCCUUUUUGAAGAGAUGGCGCUGUAACUCAUAUCCUAAAAACAAGGUCAGUCAGAUGAUGUUCGAAUGUUACACAGCGGCGAGUAUAUCUCUCAAUCUGAAGGUUCGUCAAAAGGUUUUCUGCAAAGUUAAAAUUAAAUUUCACCCAUUCAGACUGAUCCCUUCACCUACUGCUUAUUCUGAAAUCGAACAAACUGACUCCUGCUUCGGAGCCAAGGUGUCUUUUCCUCUUUUCUCCGACGAGUGAAACUUUUUUUUAGUGAGAAAAGUUCCUUAUCACAGUUUCUCCUGUCGGUGCUUUAAUUUUGAUAAAUGACUCGCACUAUAAAUCUUGUCGUACGCGAUAAAUUCCUCAAAACUUCACUAAACCUUCAAGUAUUUUGAAUAACCUAAAAUUAGAAAUAAAGAGCAGCAUUUAAAUAACCAUCAUCACAUAUUUGUCAGGUAAAUAAGUGUAUGUAUUAGUAUGUAUGUAUGCAUUUAUGUAUGGAUGUUCUUAUGCAUGCAUGUAUGACUGCAUAUAUGUAUGUAUUCAUGCAUGUUUGUAUGUAUUUAUGUACAUAUGUAUGUAUGCAUGCAUGACUGUGAAUCUGUUAGUGGAGUUGGUCGCCUACCAAUCAGAAAGUCAGAAAAGUGUCCUCAGGCAGGACCCCUGACCCUACCUGUCCCCGCUGUCUGCACGCAGUAGUGUGUGAAAGGAAUUAGUCAAAACUGAUGGACGCACUCCUCU